ACUGCAAUUUUUAAGCCUUAUAAAACUGGAAACAUACAUCUUGACUAUUACACAACAGAUAAUAGUUUGCUCUGUCAACUUUAUAAAAAUGAGCUACAGUAUUAUCAGUUAGGGGUACCUGCAAGCUGAGUUCUCAAAAUUAAUGUCUCACUGCCUUAUUCCUAUUCAUGGUUAGUGUUAACUGCAGAUCAUCAGUGUUUAGCUUGUGUUCCAUCUACCAGGUUUUGGUAUUAUUUGUAUGUGAUAUCAAUUACUUUUUAGCUUAAGGUACAGAGAGAAGUGGUUGGCAAUCCAAAAUCUUCAGGUUGACUGAAAAGCCUGGGGCGUAGGUAAUGUGUAUCUUGCAGAGACAUGGAACAGGCAAGACAAACUCGGCUUGAUGCCUCCUGGCAGAAGAGAUAAGCAGAAAUGGGUGCAGCAUCUUCUCCGACAUCUUUUCUGUACUGUAAUGAAGACAUUUCCAUCUAAUGCCCUGAGAUCAUAUGGAUCAUCGCCAUUGCUCAAGGGGCUCAUCUUGGGGACAAAGAAUGUGCAAACUGAGGAUUAAGAGAUAUUCGUGAAGCAAAAAAACCAAGGGAAACAAGAUUGACAGCCUACUGUUGAUGGAUUUCAAAUCCUGGAAGAAAAGGGAGAAGAAAGGAGUCAAAAUGUGUCAAUUCAACAAAAUAGAACUCCAUAUAGUCUAUUGUAAAAUUGAUGAGAAAUAAAGCCAAUACAGGAUUUUCA
rnacentral:lncRNA from 12 species